AGAGUUUGAUCCUGGCUCAGGACGAACGCUGGCGGCGUGCCUAAUACAUGCAAGUAGAACGCUGAAGAGAGGAGCUUGCUCUUCUUGGAUGAGUUGCGAACGGGUGAGUAACGCGUAGGUAACCUGCCUUGUAGCGGGGGAUAACUAUUGGAAACGAUAGCUAAUACCGCAUAACAAUGGAUGACACAUGUCAUUUAUUUGAAAGGGGCAAUUGCUCCACUACAAGAUGGACCUGCGUUGUAUUAGCUAGUAGGUGAGGUAACGGCUCACCUAGGCGACGAUACAUAGCCGACCUGAGAGGGUGAUCGGCCACACUGGGACUGAGACACGGCCCAGACUCCUACGGGAGGCAGCAGUAGGGAAUCUUCGGCAAUGGGGGCAACCCUGACCGAGCAACGCCGCGUGAGUGAAGAAGGUUUUCGGAUCGUAAAGCUCUGUUGUAAGUCAAGAACGAGUGUGAGAGUGGAAAGUUCACACUGUGACGGUAGCUUACCAGAAAGG
rnacentral:rRNA from 1 species